rnacentral:tRNA from 1 species
GACCACAUAACCUAACAGAUAAGGCACCUGACUCUGGAUCGGGGGUUCAAGUCCCUCUGUGGUUG